GACGAACGCUGGCGGCGCGCCUAACACAUGCAAGUCGAACGAGCGAGAGGGAGCUUGCUUUCUCGAGCGAGUGGCGAACGGGUGAGUAACGCGUGAGGAACCUGCCUCAAAGAGGGGGACAACAGUUGGAAACGACUGCUAAUACCGCAUAAGCCCACGGUGCCGCAUGGCACAGAGGGAAAAGGAGCAAUCCGCUUUGAGAUGGCCUCGCGUCCGAUUAGCUAGUUGGUGAGGUAAUGGCCCACCAAGGCGACGAUCGGUAGCCGGACUGAGAGGUUGAACGGCCACAUUGGGACGGGGACACGGCCCAGACUCCUACGGAAGGCAGCAGUGGGGAUAUUGCACAAUGGGGGAAACCCUGAUGCAGCGACGCCGCGUGGAGGAAGAAGGUCUUCGGAUUGUAAACUCCUGUUGUUGGGGAAGAUAAUGACGGUACCCAACAAGGAAGUGACGGCUAACUACGUG
rnacentral:rRNA from 1 species